rnacentral:tRNA from 1 species
AAUAAGAUAAGCUAAACCAAUUCAACCAAGCUAGCGGGCCCAUAACCCGAAAAUGAUAACUCUCUCUUAUUA